AUGCGCCGAGCAUCCGGUGGGGUUCUGUCCAGCCGCACAAUAUCUUGUUUUUCUUCCAAAAUGUUUAUUUGGCCAAAUCAGAUCGUUCUGCCGUGGCGGAAAAGGCUGUUAUUCUGCUCUUUCGCCAACGCGGAGUUUUCGGCGGUGUUUUCGGUGCCCUCUGCCCUCGGCCGGGUUCGGCCGCCUGCCCCCCCUUCCCGCGGCGGCUGGGCUGUGGCCAGGGCUCCAACGCUUCCUACGGGAGGUGCUGGGGAAGGAGCUGGUGCUGGGGGGGUCACCACAGCUGCGGGGGGGGGGACAGUGACGACGGGGCUGCUCAGGGAUGCUGCAGCCCCAGGGAGCACCCCGGUCCUGGCAGCCCCAUCCUGGCAUCUCCCCAAAAUCUCGGCCCCAGCUGAAUUCCCGACGGGCAGCCCGGCCCCUGCUGCCUCUUGGCACAGAGCGGAGGGCACCAUGAGGCGGGCUCCGUCCCGGUUAAUGUUUCCUCUGCGGGAUGGAAAACAAGGUGGGAGCCACCACGGCGGUGCGGAGGGAGGACGAGGGGACGGUGGCGUGGCGAGGGGGGCUUUGUGCAAACAAGAUAAGGGGCGGGGGGGGCUGGAGGGGCGGGGGGCGAUGGCGGUCCCCAUUGUCCCCAGGGAUAGUCAAGCUGGGGGCACCUGGGGACAAGCCAAAAGCCAGCCCCGGGGCAGGUUCAAGCUGGACCCACUCCAACUCGAUCCAACCCCCCCAUCAGCCCCAUCCGUGACCCCAAUGUCACAACCGAGGGGACCCUCUGGGUGCGCAGCUGCUGGGUGGCCGUGCCGGCACGGCGCAGCGCUGCGCGAUGGCACCGUCAGGGCGUCCCCAGCGCCCCCGUCCCUGUCCCCGCUCACAAUGGGAGCUGCCGUUUCCCGCCACUUCCCCCCCAGCCCUUUUAUUCCCUCCCGCAGCCCCCCUUUUCCUUCCCCCUUGCCCGGCCGCCAGAUAAAAGCCUGGACGUGUGAAUCGCGGGGCACAAAGGCGACGCACAAAGGCGGCCGGCCGCGCGCAGCCCUCCUCGCUGCCCGCCCCGAGCAGGGGGAUGGAGACCUCGCGCCCAGCCCGGGGCUGUCCCGGUCCCACUGUCCCCUCCUGUCCCCUCUGUCCACACCGCCCUGGGGCCCAGGAGCUGCCGUGGGGAAUGCUUCUGGGAAAAGGGGUGUUCCAUGGGGUCAGGAUGAUGUCCCUGGGGCUGGGGUCAGGAUAUGGUCAGGAUAA
rnacentral:lncRNA from 1 species